UUUAUAGGUCUACGAUGGUUUUUACCAGGUUUACCCACCACUUAGUUCACUGUUGUCUCUUACUUUAAAUUUACUAUUUAGUAUUUACUAUUUAAUAUUUUAAUUUGUAUUUGCUUAGGUAUACCGAUACUGCUUUUCACAGUUUCUUUCGUGGUGUUAUUGUGACUAUCAGAUGUCGGAUUUCGUUUCGUUGACCAAAAAGUAGCGUUGACAUGUUGGAACUCGAGUAUCUGAUAUUGGAUAUGUGAUUUUGGCCUGAUGUUUUCGCCAAUACCUAACUAUAUAAACAAUGUAUAACUAAAGACCUAGAACGUGAAAUAGAAAUAAUAAUCGACGCAACCGUUGAAGGUGUCAGCAAAAAAGGAGCAGUUACUGAUGAGAGUAUACUAUAGUUGCAGAAAAGCGAAUACAAUUUGUUGGAUGAAAUGCUGCACAGUUAGGAAAGCUGAAAAAACAAGCAGAAACAUUUACUUUCCAGGCUGAAGUUCAUCAUUGUAA